rnacentral:rRNA from 1 species
UACGUAGGGGGCAAGCGUUGUCCGGAAUUACUGGGCGUAAAGGGCUCGUAGGCGGCCAACUAAGUCGGAUGUGAAAUCCCCAGGCUUAACCUGGGAACUGCAUCCGAUACUGGAUGGCUUGAAUCCGGGAGAGGGAUGCAGAAUUCCAGGUAUAGCGGUGAAAUGCGUAGAUAUCUGGAGGAAUACCGGUGGCGAAGGCGGCAUCCUGGACCGGCAUUGACGCUGAUGAGCGAAAGCUAGGGGAGCAAACGGG